AUGAAGUGCAGGGACGUCUGUGAAGGAAGAGGGGAAAAGAAUAGCGGGACAAAAACCACUCUGGGCCGGGAAAUGCCCCUGCUACCUGCUAUUUACCCUAUAGCAGCCGCUAUAGUGUUCUGCACCUCUAAGGCUUUUCCCAUAGCGGCUGGUCUCCGCUCCGCUACAGCGGGAUUGUGCCGCUAUUGGCCGCUAUUGACUACUCUAGAAUAUAUUGUAUCAGAUAUUAGUAUUGAAUAUUAG